rnacentral:rRNA from 1 species
GAGUUUGAUCCUGGCUCAGAGCGAACGCUGGCGGCAGGCCUAACACAUGCAAGUCGAGGGGCCGUAGCAAUACGGCACCGGCAGACGGGAGAGUAACACGUGGGAACGUGCCCUUCAGUUCGGAACAACCCAGGGAAACUUGGGCUAAUACCGGAUACGCCCUUACGGGGAAAGAUUUAUCGCUGAAGGAGCGGCCCGCGUCUGAUUAGCUUGUUGGUGAGGUAACGGCUCACCAAGGCGACGAUCAGUAGCUGGUCUGAGAGGAUGAUCAGCCUCACUGGGACUGAGACACGGCCCAGACUCCUACGGGAGGCAGCAGUGGGGAAUAUUGGACAAUGGGCGCAAGCCUGAACCAGCCAUGCCGCGUGCAGGAUGACGGUCCUAUGGAUUGUAAACUGCUUUUGUACGGGAAGAAACACUCCUACGUGUAGGAGCUUGACGGUACCGUAAGAAUAAGGAUCGGCUAACUCCGUGCCAGCCGCCGCAGUAAC